UGCUGAGAUGCUGCAGAAGUGAAGGAGAAAACCUCUUUUCCUGGAAAAGGCCCAAGCUGCUCUUCCUUCUCAAUAGACUCGGGGUCUCAAAGUUUUUUUAGAUUUGCUCAGCAUGGAUGUCACAUAAGCAAAAAUUACAAGUUUGACAAUCAGAGUAUAUUUCCAGUAUCUUCUAACAAAUCUCACAGAUUACCAGGUUGCAGCCUCAUCUUCCAGAGUGCAGGCAGUGCACAGAAGAAUUAGGGCUCUGGCACAACAGCACAGGAAUGAGGGAGUUGUGUGAGGGCAGCUGCACACCCACUUCCUUAGUCAGGACGUCAGGCUUUGUCUCUUUCUCAAUCUGUGCUACCUUUCAUCUCCUAAUGAAGGCAGCAGAGAAAGGCAGCCCAACUGAAGCACUCUCCCCAUUCCUGAACCAGGCCAACCAGAAACUCUUUCAGCUUCUGCAUCUACCCAUGACAAGUUGGUGACCAAAACCAAUAUCAUUUUCUGGUGCUGCUGCUGACAGCCAAGUCAGGCCAACUUCUUCAAGGCACAGAGACUUGGUGCAUGAUGGUGUGCCACCUACUUGCAGCUGGAGAAAGCCUGCUUGGAUUCUUGUCAUAGCUGUGAAGAAACAUUUUUCUUGGAGAAAGGUGUUGGUUAUGACCCAAGGCAGAUUGUUGGUGCAUGAAAACAUUUCAGUACACGUACAAAGGCUUU